GUGAGGAAUAUUGGUCAAUGGGCGGUAGCCUGAACCAGCCAAGUCGCGUGAGGGAAGACGGUCCUAUGGAUUGUAAACCUCUUUUGCCGGGGAGCAAGGCCAUGUACGUGUACGUGGCCUGAGAGUACCCGGAGAAAAAGCAUCGGCUAACUCCGUGCCAGCAGCCGCGGUAAUACGGAGGAUGCGAGCGUUAUCCGGAUUUAUUGGGUUUAAAGGGUGCGUAGGCGGACUGGUAAGUCAGCGGUAAAAUUGAGAGGCUCAACCUCUUCCCGCCGUUGAAACUGUCGGUCUUGAGUGGGCGAGAAGUAUGCGGAAUGCGUGGUGUAGCGGUGAAAUGCAUAGAUAUCACGCAGAACUCCGAUUGCGAAGGCAGCAUACCGGCGCCCUACUGACGCUGAAGCACGAAAGCGUGGGGAUCAAACAGG
rnacentral:rRNA from 1 species